CAUCGAUACUGCCAUUUGUCAAUUUUUCUUAUUGGAUGACAUUGUUGGAUGGAUCUUUUUUCGAGCGGCGGCUUCAUUCGUGAAACAUCUCGCAAAUUAAUAAAGACAGACAAUUAUCAAAGUGUUGUAAAAAAGUGUUUCGAUACCAGUUCAAUUAAUUAAAACAUUAUUCAUUAACUACUUGCCAUUGGACGCUCAGAGCUAAACGUCGACCUUCUCUCUCUCUCCCCGUUACGACGACAACGGUUCUCUCUUCCUCAAUAUAUUUCCCCCUUUUUAUAUUGUUUUAUCUCCUUCUACCCCACACAUAUACCCCCAACGAUUCAACCUUACAUACAUAUUACGCUCAUCUAACCGAAAAACAACAACACAACAACGAAUACGCAAUCAUAAGAAACAACAAAAACAGAAAGUGAAUUGAUGUUGGUCCUGAUAUCAGUGUCAAAUUGAAGUCUACAAAUAAAAAAAAAACAACAAAAGUGCUAAAUCAGUGAAUUCCUUACAGUUUCAUAUACAAGAAAAACAGCAAAAAAAAUUAUUCUUCAAACGAAAUUCCCUUUGCGAAAAAAGCAAAGUAUAGUGCUUGGAUACAAAGCGGCUCGGCAGGCAACAACAACAGAAUCGAAUAAAA
rnacentral:sRNA from 14 species